rnacentral:misc_RNA from 1 species
CAACCCUCACACUCCUAGGGUGUGGUGUUGGGGAUCGGCCAAAGCCCGCAAGGGACGGCCGGCCCCUAAAUCUAGUGGCGGACCCGUUGUGGCCUCCUCUGCGAAGUAGUAAUAUUCCGCAUUAGAGAAGCAGCGAGCCCCUGCCGUAAAACCCCCAACUUUCUAA